CUAAUCUUUACAAUUGUCUCUCUUGUAUGAGCUUUGGGUUUGACUUGCUCCUCCUUUUCUAGAAACUUGAGAUGUAGCAUUAGGUUAUUUAUUUGUUGUAGGGAGUGGUGUAACUGCCCCACUGCUGUCUCUCUGCCUCUCCCUCCUAUGGGCACAUAAUGCACCUGCCUACAUUAACCAUAGUCCUCUCCUACUUACGUCACAUACACAGACAUGAUGAUGACCCAUCAGAGAUUACCCCAUAGCCUCUUCGUGUCCCACCAGCCCACCCCUGCCAUAUAAAACCAGUGACCACUUUAUUAAUAAAUGAGACUUAAUUGGACUCCCUUGACUUGUCUCUGACACUCUGUGUCUGGCCCUGUCUGUGUUAAUCCCCAUCCCUUCUCCAGGAAACUGCCCCACAGAUCUGAAUUGACCUGCAGGCCGGGUCAAGUGGCGCCUGUCAUGGGGCUCUUGGCAUGAAGGGCUCAAUGAGGGAGCCAUCCUGAGACACACGCAUUGAAGUGAAACUAAAAGUUUUGUGACCAACGCUACGCAGGAGCCUGUUGCACCGCUAGAGUCAUGAGACAACACACCACGAGGGUGGGAAAGGAAGAUGCAUUUCGUGCUUUCCUCAAGAACAGAGGACAGGUGGUCUCAGCACUAUUAGGGACUUCUUUCAGCAGGUGAAGGCUUCCUGAGCCAGCACUGCCCAAUUCAAGGCAGAGAGAAGGUUGGGCUGGUCUCUCUGCAACUGGAGCAGGAGGCUGGUGUUCAACUCCACAAGAUGCCCCAGCUGAAUUGGACCAACCUGAGCUCACUGAAGCUGAGCCCUGCCUUCAGGAGGGAUUGGCCUGGGUCUGUGGGCCUCUGGGGAUUGCAUAAGACACUUUACAUGGAGAAAGACUGCCAGACUUGGGAUCUCUGGCAAGCCUGAGGCAUGUACAAGUGAGUGGGUCAAGGAAGAAUGAGAAACUUUGCUGGGGUGGAUUUGUGCACAGAGCUGUCUGUGACAGGCACUGUGAAGUUCUCGGGCCUGCAAGGAACAAGGACAGUUGGUGAUUGUUCUCCUUCUGUUGAUGCAAGGCUAGUACCUGAUGACCUGAAGUCGGACUUGCAGAGUUUGUGCCAGCUGGACUCCAGUGACCUCGCCAGCUCUGGGAUCAAAGUGAAAACUAAGGUUAGGCACCCUUUCUUAAGGAAUUUCAGAACUGGCGCUUUUACUAGCUCCAUGGCAAGAAUCCUGAGCUCCACUUCCAGCCAAGUGCUGCAGAGAACCUCUGUUCCCUUCCCCUUCCUUCCUUUGUACCCCUUGUAUUUCUUUCAGCUUUCAUUUUAGUCUUAUUAUCUAUAAUUGUUCUCAACAUUAAAGUCUAAGAUAAUUUUAAUUAAAAGUUAAGAUGUCAUUAGUUUCAACAUGUUCAAUUCAGUAGCACAUAAGGACAUCAUCAACUUGUACAAUUUCUACAUCUAUUGAUUUCUAGCUUUCUGUUCAGUGUUGGACUCAUCCAUAUGCCUGUACUCUUCUACUAGUCCCAACCCACCUCUGAUUUUUCUCUCACUGUGAUUUGCUACUCUGGGUCGUUAAUAUUCAAGCAUCAGAUUAUGUUUGGCCAAACAUUACUGGAGGAGACUGGCUACCAUUGCUUUUUCAUAGAAGAGAAAAUCCCAAAUAACCAAAAUCUACAGCGAAAAUGUAAGAAAUCUACUGAUCUUUUCAUGUUGGAAAAGCUUUCCCAUGAUAGAAGGGAGAGAGAAAGAUCUGAUUCACUGCAUUUGAAAAACAGAAAAAGAAUAAUGUAGAAUCCACAAUAAGAAAUCUUUCCUUACAAGCAAUAGGCAGAGAGUUUGUAUUAGAGGUGUCAAAGAGGUGUCUAUGAGUCCAUUCUGUGAGAGAUGAAAAAUUCUUCUAACUCAAAAGAGAACCACCAAGUGUGGCCAACGAAUGGAGAAGACGCUGGGCCCCACAAGGGUGAUUCAUUCAGGAAUACAUCCCUGACAUGUGCUGUGAUCCCAUCUGAUGGCAGACUUUAAGGCAAGUGCUGAACAGUACUGAGAAGAACAUGGUGGGUGGGGCAGAGCCCUGUCCAGAAGCUCCCAUCACAGCUCUCACAGGUGUCCCCAGACUUUGAGGUCUAAAAAUAGAGAUUUAUCCUACACAGAGAUCUGUAUAACUUUUCAAGCUUUCUUUUCAAGACUGUUGUUCACAACACUGCUUGAAGCAGGAGGAAAAUGUGAUCCUUGCUACCCUCAACGUAGAAGGUGCGGGGCAUCAGUGUGGGUCAGGAGAACCAGGAAAAGCUGUGCAGAUGCUGAGCUUGAUCUCUCUGGGCCACAGGGUAAGAGGACAAGGAAUCUGAUCAUGAAAUAAUACAUGGAUGAGAGAAGGAUGUGUGUUCAAAGUCAGAGGAUACUGACUUUGAAAAUGCAAUGUCUCUGACAUCAAUGUGCGUCCACACACAGACAUGUAAGAAUCUAUGUUCAAGAAUGGUGUCUCAGCAGUGUAGCUACUUAUGGAAACCCUGGCUCAAUAUAAAAAAGAAUUUUAAAACAGAAUUUAGUGUAGUUCAGUGCAUGGCCAUGCGCUAUAAUUCACAGAAUUAUGUUAAGGAAAAAACACAGACAAACUGGGAGCGAUGUGAGGGGCUGUAGAGCACCAUCACCUGGUCUUCUGGAGAGCAGUGUGCCCCAACUAUCUUGAGCCUCCACACCUUUCUUGGGCACAUUGAUUUAAAAAAAUGAUCAAUUCCAUGAAGGAGGGGGAAAGGAGGAUAUUCACCCAAGAAUACAAAGUCUCAGUCACAAUGGAGAAGAAAUGUUCAAUUUUACAAUAAACUGAAUGGUGACCACAGUUAAUAAGAAGUAUAGCUUUCAAAACUGCUAAACAAUGAGAUUGGCAGUCCCAUUCACUGUGAAACAAUCUGUAGGUAAGGUGGUAGACACAUUAACUUGAUUGAUUCUUUCUACAAAGGAGCCAUAGAUCACAAGUGCAUGUCAUCCCACAAACAUACAUAAUUAUUGUGAAUUGCCAAGUGAAGAUACCUUAUACCUGCACUCUCAGCAUUCUGGGAGGCUAAGGUAGGAGGACCACAAGUUUAAACCCAAUCUGGGGAAUUGAGUAAAUUAUUUAAAGUCUGUCUCAAAAAUUAAAAAAAAAAACUAAA